rnacentral:lncRNA from 1 species
CGGACUUUGCGGGCGGGCGGGCACUGGUGAGAAGAGGAAGUGGGAGAGGCCUGGGAAGGAAACUUGGAAACCGAAAACUCGGCGGCCGAGGCUCCGUGCCCCGCGCGCAGCGCUGCUCCUGCCCCGGCCAAGGACGCACGGGCCAGCCGGCGGAACCAGAGUGUCUUUUAUUUUUAUUUUUUAUUUUUUGAGAUAGGCUCUCACUCUUGCCCAGGCUGGAGUGCAGUAGCACGAUUAUGGCUCACUGCAGCCUUGACCUACCAGGCUCAAGCGAUCCUCACACCUCAGCCUCCCAAGCAGCUGGGACUACAGGUGUGUACUACCAUGCCCAGCUGAUUUUUAAUUUUUUGUAGAGACGGCAUCCUACUGUUUCCCAGUUUAAUUAGGCAUAAAUAAAAAGCCACGUGAAGCCUGGAGAUACUGGACAUAGCAGAUUUGUCAAGCCAUUUUUCCCACCACCAGUGCCUGAGCACGACCUCAUUUGUCUUGGUCAAUGAAGCUCAAGGAAGCAUUGCACUUUGGCUUCCGCUUUAAGUUUUGUAUGUUGAUAUGUAUCCCAUGUCUUCUAACAAUAAAGUGCUAUUUCACU